UACGUAGGGUGCGAGCGUUAAUCGGAAUUACUGGGCGUAAAGCGUGCGCAGGCGGUUUUGUAAGCCAGAUGUGAAAUCCCCGGGCUUAACCUGGGAAUGGCAUUUGGGACUGCAAGGCUUGAGUGCGGCAGAGGAGACUGGAAUUCCUGGUGUAGCAGUGAAAUGCGUAGAUAUCAGGAGGAACACCGAUGGCGAAGGCAGGUCUCUGGGCUGACACUGACGCUCAUGCACGAAAGCGUGAGGAGCAAACAGG
rnacentral:rRNA from 1 species